AAGCUUGGAUUGGAAGUUGCUGGCCAGAUGGGGUGUUUGGAUGAGAACUGUUCUAGCAGCUGCCGUGGUAUCCAGUGAGAUUGUGAGACCCAGUCUGACAACCAAGGGGAUGAAGAUCUCUCUUUUCUUCUGUUUCCUCCUAGCUACAAGGUGUUUCCUUGUAGCAUAAUGGGUAAUCAGUCACCUGUGCGGAACUCUGGAAGCCAAACUUCAACUAAGACUAAAGAAGGAGGCCUCCAUGCUCAGUACCAGACAUUGAGAAACCAGGAGUACACUUUUGUAUUUGUGGUUAAACUGGAUUCACAUAUUCUCUAAGUGGAUAUUUUUAGAUUUGGAGUUGUCUUUGAAAAGAAUAGAAAUGAGGUAAUGUUUAGUAUGCAAGUGAUACUGAAAAAACUCAGCGCUGGGAAUGGUCUUUCAACUCCCCUUCCUGGAAGACACAUAUAACAGUGCACAGAACACAUUAUAAAUAAUUCUAUUGGCCCAUGCCUCUGUCUAUGCUGUCAAGAAAGGAAGAAUGGAAACAGACCAAAUGGACCGAUAAACAGAAAUGUCCCAAGU
ensembl:lincRNA